GACGAACGCUGGCGGCGUGCCUAAUACAUGCAAGUCGAACGCACAGUUUAUACCGUAGCUUGCUACACCAUAGACUGUGAGUUGCGAACGGGUGAGUAACGCGUAGGUAACCUGCCUGGUAGCGGGGGAUAACUAUUGGAAACGAUAGCUAAUACCGCAUAAUAUUAAUUAUUGCAUGAUAAUUGAUUGAAAGAUGCAACUGCAUCACUACCAGAUGGACCUGCGUUGUAUUAGCUAGUAGGUGAGGUAACGGCUCACCUAGGCGACGAUACAUAGCCGACCUGAGAGGGUGAUCGGCCACACUGGGACUGAGACACGGCCCAGACUCCUACGGGAGGCAGCAGUAGGGAAUCUUCGGCAAUGGACGAAAGUCUGACCGAGAAACGCCGCGUGAGUGAAGAAGGGUUUCGGAUCGUAAAGCUCUGUUGUAAGAGAAGAACGGGUGUGAGAGUGGAAAGUUCACACUGUGACGGUAUCUUACCAGAAAGGGACGGCUAACUACGUG
rnacentral:rRNA from 1 species